GAAUGCAUAAGCUACUAGUCAGCGUCUCCUGCAUAUCUUCCCCUCUUUCUUCCAAGCACAACCCUAGAAACUCGAGUCAUGAGGGGUCUGAUCUCCGGCGCGAAGAGGCUAUGGACAACACCACCGCCGACGGCGAUAACCACCGCCAUAGCGAGAAGAAGCUACAGCGUAAUUCCAAUGGUUAUCGAGACUUCAUCGCGUGGCGAGAGAGCUUACGACAUCUUCUCGCGCCUGCUCAAGGAGCGCAUAAUCUGCAUCAACGGCCCCAUAAACGACGACACGUCACACGUCGUCGUGGCUCAGCUUCUCUACCUCGAGUCCGAGAAUCCUUCGAAGCCGAUUCAUAUGUACCUCAAUUCACCAGGCGGACACGUCACCGCCGGUCUUGCGAUUUACGAUACUAUGCAGUACAUUCGAUCUCCGAUAAGCACGAUUUGUUUAGGCCAAGCUGCGUCCAUGGCUUCUCUGCUCUUGGCAGCAGGUGCCAAGGGACAGAGACGGGCACUUCCAAACGCGAGCGUCAUGAUUCAUCAACCUUCAGGAGGAUAUAGUGGACAAGCUAAGGAUAUGACUAUCCACACGAAGCAGAUUGUUCGUGUUUGGGAUGCUUUGAACCAGCUCUAUGUGAAACACACGGGGCAAUCUAUUGAUGUGAUUGAGAAGAACAUGGAUAGGGAUCAUUUCAUGACUCCUGAGGAGGCUAAAGCGUUUGGUAUAAUCGACGAAGUGAUUGAUGAGAGACCAUUGGAGCUGGUGAAGGAUGCUGUUGGAGGUGAAAGCAAAGAUAAAAGUUAAGAGAAUCUGAUCGACCGGCCCGAAGAUUGGGAUCAUGUACCAGACCCAAAGAAAUACUUCGUUUAUUUCUUUGGAACACAGGAAAUAGCUUUUGUUGCGCCUCCUGAUAUUCAAGCCUUCACUAGCGAAGCAAAGAACAAACUGUUAAAAAGAUGUCAAGGUAAAACGGUCAAGCACUUCGCACAAGCUGUGGAGGAGAUCUCCGCUGCAUUUGAGAAGUCGCAGAAACGCAAGUCAGAUAACUUGGGCAGUGAGGCGCUUUUGAAUGCUGUUGAGCCUAGAUUGACCAAGGCUAAGGCAUUGGAUGAAA